UACGUAGGGGGCAAGCGUUAUCCGGAUUUACUGGGUGUAAAGGGAGCGUAGACGGCUAAUCAAGUCAGAAGUGAAAACCCAGGGCUCAACCUUGGGACUGCUUUUGAAACUGAGUAGCUAGAGUGCAGGAGAGGUAAGCGGAAUUCCUAGUGUAGCGGUGAAAUGCGUAGAUAUAUGGAAGAACACCAGUGGCGAAGGCGGCCGCCUGGCCUGUUACUGACGCUGAGGCACGAAAGCGUGGGGAGCAAAUAGG
rnacentral:rRNA from 1 species